CGAGCCUCACAAUCCAUCUGGUUGGGAACGUCGUGCAGUGCCCCGAGCCGCAGGAGCCAGAGCCAAUUACAAGUUUAUAUAAGAGACCAAGUCUCUCCCGCCUCCCCGGCUCCGCCCCGCCCUCCCCGCCCCAGCCGGCGUUGGGAUGGGGGAGGAAUCGCUCUCUCUGAAAUACAGGAUUGAUCUAGGAUGGAGGGUGUCUUUUCUGGGUUGACAACUCAGAACUAUUCCCUGCGUGAGAAACUUCUUGGGUCCAGCUUUUGUGCUCGGAAAACCUCAGAUGCCCUGCAGACCUUCCUGUGAAUCCGGGGAGGCCGGGGAGGCCGGGUCGGGGCCCGCCUCCACCUCGGGCCUGAGCUAAAAGAGGAGGUGUCUGGGUGGCAGGGUUCACGCGGCGUCCCCGCGGCGCGGUGCGAACUCGCUGGCGUUUAUGUAACUGCUGCCCUUCGCGGAGGACCGUGUGAUACACUGAGUCACGGAGGACGGGAGAGGGGGGCGGGCCGGCCUCUCCCGUCCACGUGACCCGUCAGAUGACUUGUUCUGAGUCGGCACGGGCUCAUUUACCGUAAUAAGGCUGAAGGCUUCUAAUCAGCAUCCAACGUUAGUCAUCCCCGAGUGACAUUUGAUAUGAGCAACAGCUCAAUACUAGGGCAUGACCGCGUGGAUGGCGAUGGACCUGGAGUAAAUGCUGCUCCGGCCGCCUCUGAUUUUUGUUGGAACCGGAGGAGUUUAUGCUGAGUCAAGGAAACCUACUGCGAAAAUGCCAGGGGAGACAAGUCACUCUUCCAGACAGAUUCUUAGAUUCUUCUGCACUAGGAGCAGAGAGUCCGGGAGAAACCGUUUAUAGGGUGGCUGGCAGGCAGCAGUCCACGCAAGCUCCGCUUCAGCUUCUGCAGUCUAGCGUGUGGCUCUGGGACCAGCCUCGCCCUCACCUAGGCCUCCAGAACCCGAAUCUGCAUUUGAAAGAAAACCCAGCGUAGGCGCCCGAGGAGCACGUGAAUACGGAGAACACAGGUGUCCUGUCUCUGAGUGAAGCGCAUGAACAAUUUCAUCAACCCUAAAAGAAACCCUGUGGCCAUAAGCAGUCACCCUCUGUCCCCCACUCCCCCAGCCCCUGGCAGCCACGGAUCUACUUUGUGUCAUCCGCUCUUGAGCUGAGACCUGAUGGAUGAAUAGAAGUCAACUUGUUGAGCAGUUAGGGGAAGAGGAUUUCUGGACGACAACAGUAUGGACAGCAUCCAGCAGAGGGACAAUGCACAGUCAAGGAAUUAAUGAGGGACCUGUGUUGUCAGAGUACAGAAUACAAGGGUGAGUGGCUGGAGCCAGAGUGUGCUAGGCUGGUCAUGCAGCCCACUCGAAGAUCUUGGCUUCUGCCCUAGUGCCGAGGGACCCGCAGGUCUGACACAGAACCUUCCAUCCAAUACAUGCCCCCAAAAUGUGGAGUGAGCAAACAAGUAAAUUUGGCUCUCAUACCCUUUUAAAACAUCAUAAAGGAUUGCUUUAUUUUAAAUAUUUAUAACAUAAAGCCAGACAUACAAGAGACAUAUAUAUGUGUAUUCCCACAGUCAUGGUAUAAUCUUACCGUUUGUAGAAAUCUGGUUUGGGCUUUUAUACUAAGUAAAGAGCUGAACUAAACUCGCAGAUCAGCUGUAACUUAUCUUCUCAGGAAACAGUAACUCCAGACUUGGUGGAAUUUCUUAUUGAGGUUUGACAGAAUGGAGGACGGAACUCAGACUAAAGAUUUGGGCUAGCUGGAGAUUCAGAGCAAGUUCUUUCUCAUUAGAAUUUCUUCCUAUUACCUAAAAAUAAAAUUGCUUUUAUUUGAAAUUUAAUACAUCUACUUGGUUUCCCUGGGAAGGUUUUGAACACACCUCAUUUGAGGGGCCACACCCAGACUAAAAGGCUCAGUCCUCCCACCUCUGACUACUCUGUUCUACUCCAUGUCCCCCAUUAGCACUUUUACAAGUUUCCCGGGUAAUCUUCCAAUGUUGUUUAUACAAAUACAUGUCAAUACGGAUAGGCAAUCUUAUUUACCACACCCCCGCCGC